GUGAGGAAUAUUGGACAAUGGGCGCAAGCCUGAUCCAGCCAUGUCGCGUGCAGGAAGACGCAUCUAUGGUGUGUAAACUGCUUUUGUACGGGAAGAAACACUCCCUCGUGAGGGAGCUUGACGGUACCGUAAGAAUAAGGAUCGGCUAACUCCGUGCCAGCAGCCGCGGUAAUACGGAGGAUCCAAGCGUUAUCCGGAAUCAUUGGGUUUAAAGGGUCCGUAGGCGGUUUAAUAAGUCAGUGGUGAAAGCCCAUCGCUCAACGAUGGAACGGCCAUUGAUACUGUUAGACUUGAAUUACAAGGAAGUAACUAGAAUAUGUAGUGUAGCGGUGAAAUGCUUAGAUAUUACAUGGAAUACCAAUUGCGAAGGCAGGUUACUACUUGUGGAUUGACGCUGAUGGACGAAAGCGUGGGGAGCGAACAGGAUUAGAUACCCCAGUAGUCC
rnacentral:rRNA from 1 species